UAGACAAUGGGCGGACAUCAGGAUUCACCAAAAAAUCUAUGCUGGAGAGAAACCUCACAAGUAUGAUGAGUGUGGAAAAACCUUUACCCAGGCCUCUCACCUCACUAUACAUCAGAUUAUCCAUACUGGAGAGAAACCAUAUGAAUAUGACAUAUAUGGCAAAGUCUUCAGUCAAAAUUCACAUUUCAAAAGUUAUCAUAGGAUUUGUACUGAAGAGAAGCCUUACAAAUGUGUGUGGCAAGGUCCUCAGUCAAAAUUCACACCUUGUAAAUCAUCAGAGAAUUCAUACUGGAGAGAAAUCCUACAGAUGUCAUGAAUGUGGCAAAGCCUUUACUCAAGGCUCACGCUUCAUUAAUCAUCAGAUAGUUCAUACUGGAGAGAACUUUCCAAAUGUACUGAAUGUAGCAAGGCUUUUAAGAAUGGCCCUAAACUCAGGACUCACCAAAUAGAUCAUACUUGUAAAUGCAAUGAAUGUAGCAGUGUUUUAAAGUAGUGCUUGCUACUCAUUAGAUAAGAGUAUCUAAUAUAUCUUGGGGCAAAGGCACACAAAUGCAAUGUCUGUGACAAGGAUUUUAUCUGAGGAUCAAAAGUUGGGGAACAGAAUAAUUCGUACUGGGGAGAAACCUUAGAAAUCCAAUGAGCAUGGGAAAAACUUUACCAUGAGUUCAAGUACUACAAGACAUCAGAGAGUUCAUAUUGAAGAGAAACCAUGUAAAUAUAAGGUAUGUGGCAGAGGCUCUUUUCAGGUUUCACAGUGCACUGGACAUCAGAGUAUACAUCUUUUGCCGGGCGCGGUGGCUCACACCUGUAAUCCCAGCACUUUCGGGAGGCUGAGGUGGGUGGAUCACCUGAGGUCAGGAGUUUGAAACCACCCUGGCCAACAUGGCGAAACGCUGUCUCUAUUAAAAAUACAAAAAUUAGCUGGGCGUGGUGGUAGGUGCCUGUAAUCCCAGCUACUCAGGAGGCUGAGGCACGAGAAUUGCUUGAACCUGGGAGAUGGAGGUUGCAGUGAGCUGAGAUCAUGCCACUGCACGCCAGCCUGGGCGACAGAGGAAGACUCCGUCUCAAAAAACAAAACAAAACAAAAAAACAGAGUAUACAUCUUUUAGAGAAAUCAAAGUAACAUGCAUGCUAAAGCUUUUUUUUUUUUUUUUUUGAGAUGGAGUCUUGCACUGUCGCCCAGGUUGGAGUGCAUUGGCCCGAUCUUGGCUCACCACAACCUCCGCCUCCUGGAUUCCAGCAAUUCUGCCUCAGCCUCCCAAGUAGCUGGGACUACAGGCGCGUGCCACCACACCCGGUUAAUUUUUUGUAUUUUUUAGUAGAUACGGGGUUUCACCAUAUCGGCCAGGCUGGUCUCGAACUCCUGACCUCGUGAUCUGCCUGCCUCAGCCUCCCAAAGUGCUGGGAUUACAGGCUUGAGCUCCUGCGCCCAGCCCAUGCUAAGUCUUUUACCCAGUGGUCAAAACUGGCACAACACAGGAUUUAUACUGGAGAGCAACCUCACAAAUGUAAUGAAAGUGGUAAGGCUUUUUAUCAAAUGUCCUUGUCUUUGGGGUCAUGAGAAAAUUCAUACAGAAUCUAUUAAAAAUGUACUAAACAUGGAAAGACCUUUAAGCAACAGUGAUGUGAUGAAGGUGGUAGUUUUUUAAAUGAACUCCCAUAAGAGUCUACACACCAUAGAACUCAUACCAGGAAUCACAAAGUCUCUAAAUUUCCAAAGUUAACUGGAAAUAUUACAAACUGCAGAAUAAUUCCAGGCCAAAAUAUGUUAAAUUCAUAACAUGAUGUAUAUCAAAGGAAAAAAGGACAUGUGGAAAUGACACAUUAUCUUCAGUGUAUAAAAUAUUCAUUUAUGUGAAGUUUCUUGGAAAGGCUACACUACUAUUACUGGUUUCCGUCUGAUGUUUGAGAUCUGUUGAUUUUAUGCUUUUCUUACAGGCCUUUCAUUAUGAUCUUUGGGAAGGAAUCAAUAAAAUGAUAGGGCCUACUUCAUUAGGUGUGGUUCAUUCCUAUUCAUGCUCCCUGGAAGAACAAGAAUGCUGAAUUUUGAAAUUUAAUAUUGUAUGAAUUAGCAUCAGGGAGAGGUGGAGAAAAAUACAAAACUAAAAGUCAUGCUUAUUGUGUUCAGUGUGCCCUUCUCCAGAGGGCCACUGGCUUAUAGGAAAGGAUUGCUGCUCUACCAGUUGACCAGGAGAUGGCACGCCAGGACAUUAAGACACUGGAGUUUUGUUUCGUUUUUUUUUUUUUUUUGAGAUGGAGUCUCGCUCUCUUGACAGGCAGGAGUACAGUGGUGCGAUCUCGGCUCACUGCAAACUCCGCCUCCCGGGUUCAAGUGAUUCUCCUGCCUCAGCCUCCCGAGUAGCUGGGACUACAGGCGUGUGCCACCACCCCCAGCUAACUUUUGUAUUUUUAGUAGAGACAGGGUUUCACCAUGUUAGCCAGGAUGGUCUCAAUCUCUUGACCUCAUGAUCCGCCCGCCUCCGCCUUCCAAAGUGCUGGGAUUACAGGCGUGAGCCAGUGUGCCCGGCCGACACUGGGCUUUUUAUGAGAGUGACAGAUUACUAGGACCUCAUUAUGUGGUAGAAGUAAUGUAGGGGAAAUGGCGAUUAUCUUUUUUUAAAAGCAAUAGCUGUUGUAUAUCAAUGAUAAAUGAAAAAUUAGUUAUUCUUGUAAAUUGAAGAAAGAAUGGUUAUCAUAGAGGGUAGUUCAAGUAAAAGAACCAGGGCUGGGUGUGGUGGCUCACGUUCUGUAAUCCCUGUACUUUGGGAGGCCAAGGCAGAUGGAUCUCUUGAGGCCAGGAGUUCGAGACCAGCCUGACCAACAUGGCAAAACCGUGUCUCUACAAAAAAUACAAAAAUUAGCCGGACAUCGUGGUAGAUGCCUGUAAUCUCAGAUAUUCAGGAGACCGAGGGGAAAAUCACUUGAACCCGGGAGACGGAGGUUGCAGUGAGCUGAGAUCGCACCACUGCUCGCCAGCCUGGGCAACAGAGUGAGACUCUGCCUCAAAAAAAAACCAAACCAAACCAAAGAACCAGAAUAGCAUGUGCACAUAUACACAGACGUUUCACAACUGGCAUUAUGUUUUGCUACUGUUUUAUUUACAAUGUAUCACAAGUUUUAUGCUUUAAUAAAAUUUAAUCAUAACUUCUAAUGAA